UACAUGUGGGGCAAGCGUUGUUCGGAAUUACUGGGCAUAAAGGGCGCGUAGGCGGCCCGCUAAGUCGAACGUGAAAUCCCCGAGCUCAACUCGGGAACUGCGUCCGAUACUGGCGGGCUUGAAUCCGGGAGAGGGAUGCGGAAUUCCAGGUGUAGCGGUGAAAUGCGUAGAUAUCUGGAGGAACACCGGUGGCGAAGGCGGCAUCCUGGACCGGCAUUGACGCUGAGGCGCGAAAGCUAGGGGAGCAAACGGG
rnacentral:rRNA from 1 species